UACGAAGGGGGCGAGCGUUGUUCGGAAUUACUGGGCGUAAAGGGCGCGCAGGCGGCUCAGACAGUCAGAUGUGAAAGCCCCGGGCUUAACCUGGGAACUGCAUUUGAUACAACUGAGCUUGAGUACGGGAGAGGAUAGUGGAAUUCCCAGUGUAGAGGUGAAAUUCGUAGAUAUUGGGAAGAACACCGGUGGCGAAGGCGGCUAUCUGGACCGUAACUGACGCUGAGGCGCGAAAGCGUGGGGAGCAAACAGG
rnacentral:rRNA from 1 species